ACGAACGCUGGCGGCGUGGCUAAGGCAUGCAAGUCGAACGGAUCCGUCGCAAGACGGGUCAGUGGCGAACGGGUGAGGAAUUCAUGGAUAACGUGCCCCGGACUCAGGGAUAGCGUUGUGAAAACGACGGUAAUACCUGAUGACCCCGUAGGACCGCAUGGUCUCGCGGGCAAAGCUCCGACGGUCCGGGAGCGAUUCAUGUCCUAUCAGCUAGUUGGUGAGGUAACGGCCCACCAAGGCAACGACGGGUAUCGGGCGUGAGAGCGUGACCCGACACAUCGGAACUGAGAUACGGUCCGGACACCUACGGGUGGCUGCAGCAACGAAUAUUCCGCAAUGGACGAAAGUCUGACGGAGCGACGCCGCGUGCAGGAAGAAGUCCCUCGGGAUGUAAACUGCUGUCAGGGGUUAGGAACACAAUGACCAACCCCAGAGGAAGCCACGGCUAACUCCGU
rnacentral:rRNA from 1 species